GUUUCCUUUCAGCGAGACAUUUCUGGUGUUUUAAAAAAUUGAACCCCAAAAUCCCGCACUCACUCUCUUCUCUUCUCAACUGUAAUUACUUAGAGAAAAAAGAGCGCUCUCUCUCUCUCUCUCUCUCUCUCAGUUUCUGAUUUUGAGCACAAGAAUGGAUGUGCCAAAGGAUCAAAUCACUGCUCUUCUCGAUAACCAACUCUACAAUUCCGCUCAAAUUCUCGGUUGCUUUCUGGUUUCAUCAUCUACUGUUAGUCUCGAAACCAGCCCCCAGCUCAAAGCCGAAAAUCAGAUUCUUCUUGGAGAUGCAUUGUUUCGCGAUAGAGAGUUUCGCAGAGCGAUUCAUACGUAUAAGCAAGCAUUGCAUUACUGCAAGAUAAUUCCGAAACAGAGUUCGACAACUUCUAGGAGUUCAUUGUCGAACAGGUCUUCUUCUCCGAAUUCUUUUAACAUUUCAGCAAUUAAUGAAAAUGAGGUGAAGUUCAAGAUCGCAUCUUGCCAUUCAGCAAUGAAUGAAACUAGAGCCGCACUUGUUGAGAUGGAAGGAAUUCCAAGCAAAGCAAGAACUUUACAAAUGAGUUUAUUGAUGGCAAAGCUUUAUAGAAGUUCAAGGCAUACUCGCUUUGCUAUCACUUGUUACAAAGAGUGCUUAAGGCAUUGCCCUUUUGUCAUUGAGGCUAUCAUAGCUUUGGCGGAACUGGGAGUUGCUGCCAAGGAUAUCAUUUCACUUUUUUUACAGGCUUCAAAUAGAAGUGGGCGAGCUCCACUUGAUCAUACUGACUCUACUCGCUGGGUUCAACGCUAUGUUGAGGCCCAGUGUUGUAUUGCUUCAAAUGAUUACAAAGGUGGUUUGGAUCUCUUUGCAGAACUCCUGCAACGUUUUCCUCAUAACAUACAUGUAUUACUUGAAAUUGCAAAGGUUCAAGCCAUAAUUGGGAAGAAUGAUGAGGCCUUAAUGAAUUUUGAGAAGGUUCGAUCAAUUGAUCCAUACAUUGUAACUUAUAUGGAUGAGUAUGCAAUGCUUCUAAAGACAAAGGGUGAUUUUUCAAAGCUAAACAAGUUGGUGCAUGAUUUGCUGAGUAUUGAUCCCACAAGGCCAGAAGUUUUUGUGGCUUUGUCUGUCCUGUGGGAAAAGAAAGAUGAGAGAGGAGCGCUGUCUUAUGCGGAGAAGAGCACCAGGAUUGAUGAGAGGCACAUUCUGGGUUACAUUAUGAAGGGUACUUUGCUAUUGUCACUAAAGCGGCCAGAAGCAGCUGUCAUUGCUUUCAGGGGAGCUCAAGAAUUGAGAGCUGAUCUCCGCUCAUAUCAAGGUUUGGUUCAUUCUUAUUUGGCAUUCUCCAAAAUUAAAGAGGCCCUGCAUGCGGCCAGGGAGGCAAUGAAAGCCAUGCCUCAGUCUGCAAAGGCUCUAAAAUUAGUAGGGGAUGUACAUGCUAGUAACUCUGGUGGAAGAGAGAAGGCAAAAAAGUUCUACGAGUCAGCACUGAGGCUGGAACCUGGUUACCUUGGUGCAGCAUUAGCUUUGGCUGAGCUUCAUGUCAUUGAGGGUCGAAAUGGAGAUGCUGUGUCUCUGCUAGAGCGAUAUCUCAAAGACUGGGCAGAUGACUCUCUUCAUGUCAAGUUGGCUCAAGUAUUUGCUGCCACUAAUAUGCUGCAAGAGGCUAUGUCACAUUAUCAGUCUGCAUUAAGAAUAAACCCACAGAAUGAAGCUGCAAAAAAAGGGCUAGAGCGCUUGGAAAAACAGAUGAAGGGGGUGGAUCCGGAUGCACCUGAAGAAGAUGAAGAAAAUGAGAUAGAAGAUGCAGAUGGAGACCAGGAAGAGACUGAUCUUUUAUAAAAGCAAAGCCAAAGAAGAUCUUGUAAAUUUAUACGAGAUCAGGAAAUUAUUUCCACCAAGAAUGUUGGCUGAGAGAAUGCCAUGACCAGUGUGGACUGCAGGAAAAAUUGCCACGCUGCCGAGUCAAGGAAUGAGACAUGAGGCUGAUGCAGUCAUCAUGAGUCUGAUGCAAACCCUUGGCGGGGAUGUGUGAUGAUUGGAGACAUCAAUGCUGCUGAUGAUAAGGUUGCUACCUUAAAAAGCAUCCGUAGAUGGCAAUCUACAAAUUGUUCAGAGGAGAUAACCAUGGAGUUGACAUUCUCUCUCUGGGCUACUCUCGAACCUGAGUCCUCUUAGAAGAAGGGGAUGCAGGUGUCUGGAGCUACAAGCUUAAGCAUGAGAAUAGCCCUGAAGGUGUUGGAACUUCUCUACGCAGAUGAUCAUUUUUCAGGGGGGCGAAAUCAAAGACAUAACCUCUUCAAAUGACCAUCUUUUAUUGGUUCAAGUUAUUUUCCUAGACCCAAAGCGCCUCCGCCUCCGCCUCCUAAAGAGUUUGAACACAAAUAUUCUGGACACUAGCUUGUAUUUCUCCAGAAUUUUUUAAGGCCAAGAAAUAGCAGGCAACUGAACAGGUAUGGAUGUAACCUUUGUCUCAUAUAUUUACAAGGUGAUAUUGCAACAAUAUGAUUCUCCAUCCCAUGCACAGCUGCACACAGGCUAGUAUAGAAGACCAUUGAUCAGCUCAGUGGCAAUUAUCUUCUUAGAUGGUAUGCCCUCUGCCUUGCACACAAUCUUUCUCCUCAGUGCACAUGGAAUGGCUUUCUUGGUGUAGGCGUUCGGUUUUCCAUAGAUUGCAAUCUUUGUUUGAGAUGAAAAACUUCAAUCUGCAUGGCAGAUACACCCAAUAUAGAGAGAUAAAUUAAAAGAGGAAGAUCUUAAAGCAGAAAUAGUUUCUUUUAAAAAGGCCCGUCGCAGGUGGUGGUAGAUUCAAAUUACACAACACCAUUGGCAUUUCCUCUGCCAACAAUGAAUGAUCUGUCAUCCAGGAAUUUAGUGAUGUUUCAAAGGCUAAACAUCAAAGAUUUGAUCUGAAAUAUGAAGAAUCACAUGUAUUACCAGGUAUAUAGCUGGACCUCUAUCAUUCAAUCAAAAAAGAAGCUGGUAACCUGGAAUAUUUUUAUGCAGCUGUGGCAAUUUAUCCCCAGGGGAAAGCGGAAAGGAGAACUCGUGUAUUCUCUCUCUCUAGAGUGCUCAGACAUGGACAUCAGUGCUAGACUGGGCAACUCAACUAAGAGAAUACCUUAAAAAGUUUUGCUAGAUUUGUUGGGUGGUUGAUGCACUUAUUAACCAAUAAAGACAAAGAAGAGCUGUUCAAAAUAGCAAGAUAGUGAAUCACACAAGUGGGAAGCAUCUAUCAGGAAGAAUCUUUCAUCGUUCCAUUCACCUCUCCCACAAAAAACCUAGAAUUUAGUUUAGAAUUGGUACCUGUAGUUGGAAUGCUCUUGCCCUUUCCCCAGAAAGGACUCCCCUAGUCGAAUGCAACUCCUGCAACAAAUAGCCAAUCAGUAAAAAUGACUGAAAAAAACCAAUCAUCAUGACAUGGCCUCCGACAAGAUUAUCACAAGUACCUUCUGAGUAUCAUCCAAAACAGCCUUCAGGAAAGCCACAUCAUGCUCAAGCCUUAGAUUGUCCGAAUGGACAAUAUUUGAUAAGCUGUUGGCCUCUUCUUGAGCUAGCUCUACACAAGCCAGCUUUUCUUUCAACAACUCCAUCUCCCUCACUGUGUCUACCAACUUUUUCUCCAUUUCCUGUCUGCUCUUCAGGGCAGAGGAUACAUUUUUCUCUGCUGCUUCUCGACCGAUAAAUGCAGCUGCCAGUUGUCCUUCAAGUACUCUGUUCUUUCUUGUUAGAGCAGCUAUUUUUGUUUCAUACAAUCGAUAUAUACUUGCACGAGCCCCUCCUGUUGUACAAUCACUCUCUGGUAAUGGUACAUCCUCAUUAUCAAUUGAAAGGUUUCCAGUUCCUUGGUUGUGAGA